GGGACAUCUAGUGCUUAUAAUUUGAAGUACAUCUCCUGAGAAAUUGCUCAGUUGACUAUGAACCUUUCAGACAGUCUCAGUGGUAUUUCUCUGUCUCUAUGCUGUAGAGAACAUAUAAUGUGCUUGGACUGUGUGCCAAUACUCAGAUAUCAAACUUGGGGAUUAAUUAAUAGAUGUGAAACACCCAAAAUGGGAUUCAAAAUACUACCUCAGCGAUUUGAUUUCCUAGAUGCAAUGGUGUGAUGAAGACUUGUCCUCUGGAGGUCGACUUUAGGCAGCCAUGUCAAAACCAAACGAUCAUCGCCCAACACACGGUCACAGGGGCUGGUUGUGGUGAGUCAGACCAUUCUGCUGUAAACGAGUGGUCUUUACUGGCUAACUGUUCUUUGUCUAACAAGAUAAUACCUGUGGAACUACCAUGCCCCAAGGAGACGAGGUGGGAGACUGUCUUGUCUUCACCCGAGUCAGGCGCCGCAGUGUUCUCGUCUCCUAUGGCUGAAGCCAGAAGAGAAGAGGAGGAGGAGGAGUUGAGGGAUAUACGGAACCGAAAUCAAGCAACAGGUAUGUCCACUUGUCAACAAUCUAUCGUCAACGUCUUGUAAUUUUGAUACAGCGUCUCCUGAAGUAGGCUACAUGUGUUUGACACUUUGGGGUAAUAUAAUUUCAAAACGUGGACUUUUACCUUUUUAACCCAUGAACAUGACAACUUGGAACAGUGUUCCAUCAUGAAACAUAUGGUUAAGUGUGUAGGAAAUGAUACAAUUUAGCUGAAUAUUGAAUUCAUAUAACUUAUUGUUGUGAAGCAAAUGUUACGCAAUUCUACAAAUUGUUCCAUUCCUUUGAGCUGAGAUUUGUUGUUGCAGUUUUGAAGCUACUAAUUUCCAGCAAUUCUAUGCAUUUUUCCAUGGCUAAUGGUGUGUUUCUCUGCUCAAACAUUAUAACAAAAUCAAUGGGCAUGUAACCUGAAUGCCCAGUUUUUAAAAUAUUAUAUUCUCCCUCACUGUCUAGCUUUUAUUUGAUUGUUAGUUCUCAAAUAUAAUAUUAUAAAAAAAUAUAAAUAGUAAAAUAUAUUUUCUGCCUGCUUUCUAUCUGGUUUUGAUUGUUUAAAUUGACACUGAAACUGUUUUUCUAUCUGAAAAUUACUACUUCAGUUGGUAGAGUCCAAUCAACAAGAACAGCUAGCAUGCUAACUGUUCUUGUAAACUUCCAGUCAUUGCACUAACACUAGUUAGCAUUGGCUCGUAAAACUACCUUUAACUUCCUUCAUACUUGAUGCAGAGACAUACAAUGGUAUCAACGAUUGUAUUCUGUAGCAGCUAGCGAUUUUCCUAAAAUAAUAAUUGUUCACAUAAAAAAAAUCCAAGAAGUAUCUAUGUAAAAAAAAAAAACAUAUAUAUUAGUACACACACCUGAGUUUGAAAACCCUUGCUCUCUCACUUCUCCCAUGCCUUCUAGCAACAAAUCAGUUUCUAGUGCUAUAUAGAAAUAAACCCUAGUUCUGUUCUGCACCAUUACAGUAUCUAGCUGCUAUGGUUGACACAAUGCCCUCACUACGUCAUUCAGUGAAAGUAUACUUGUAUACAGCAGCUGGUAGCAACUACCUGUGUGAUUCAGAUACAGCAGUCAGUAAAGAGUGCUACAACCACAAGGAAAUGGUCUGGGAAACUCUGCCAGCCAGACAGGAAGGAAGGAUGACACAACAAAUUGUACAUCUCCUGACACUUAAAAUAUUCCUCAUCUCAUGCCAGCCAAGCUGUGUCAUUUGGUGCUAACUGUGUUGCUGGAAAUGCAUCUGGAAAACCACUGGCACUUGGCAGACAGGUUGAUCCUGUUCAUUUUGGCUCUGUAUAUUUUUGCUUUUGUCGUUUAAUUUCCUGAUGAAAUCACUUCUAAAAUGUGUUCAUAUUCAUAUCUCUUAUGCCACACAAUCUUCAUGUAGAUCAAGAGAAAGGGUUGUAAAUGAAUACAUGUAUGUAGGCUUUAUCCUGGACAUCCUGAUGGGCCGCCCCCAGUUGGUACGAGUUGGCAAAAACACGUCUGCCAAGGCUGAUCCUUAACACUGGGGCCCCUCAGGGGUGUGUACUUAGUCCCCUCCUGUAUUCCCUGUUCACCCACGGCUACGUGGCCAAACACGACUCCAACACCAUCAGAGAACUGGCAGUGUGGUGCCAGGACAACAACCUCUCCCUCAAUGUGAGCAAGAGAAAGGAACUGAUCGUGGACUACAGGAAAAGUACGGCCCGCCAUUAACAUCGACGGGGCUGUAGCAGAGUGGGUCGAGAGUUUCAAGUUCCUUGGUGUCCACAUCACCAACAAACUAUCAUGGUCCAAACAUACCAAGACCGUCAUGAAGAGGGCACGACAAAACCUUUUCUCCCUCAAAAGACUGAAAAGAUUUGGCAUGGGUCCCCAGAUCCUCAAAAGGUUCUACAGCUGCACUAUCGGGAGCAUCCUGACCGGUUGCAUCACUGCCUGGUAUGGCAACUGCUCAGCAUCUGACCGUAAGGCGCUACAAAGGGUAGUGCGAAUGGCCCAGUACAUCAUUGGGGCCAAGCUUCCUGCUAUCCAGGACCUAUAUAAUAGGCGGUGUCAGAGGAAAGCCCAUAAAAUUGUCUACCGCAUGGCAAGAGGUACCAGAGUGCCAAGUCUAGGACCAAAAGGCUCCUCAACUGCCUCUUCCCCCAAGCCAUUAGGCUGCUGAACAAUUCAUAAAAAUCACCACCAGACAAUUUGCAUUGACCCCCCCCCCUGUUAUUGUUAUUCUUAUUGUGUUACUUUUUAUUACUUUUUAUUUUAGUCUACUUGGUAAAUAUUUUCUUAUCUUGAACUGCACUGUUGGUUAAGGGCUUGUAAGUAAGCAUUUCACGGUAAAGUCUACACUUUUGCCGUACCGCAUGUGGCAAAUAAAGUUUGAUUUGAUUGUGUUUGGUUUACUAUUUUACAUUUAAAUGGCUGUUGGUAUAUUGAACUUUCCCUCACCUUUGAAUUCUGGUUCUAAACAUGGUUCUAUGCCGAGCGAUUUCCAAUCUAACAAUGUGUUUGGAUCCAUAGAAUGGUUAGACCUUCCUAGUGUAGUUAGGGGAGAAUUAAGCAGCAAAACCGGUUGAGCAAACACCUGACAUCCCAGUAAAGACACACCCCGCCCCACCCAACACAAGCCUCCAUGCCCAGUGUGUUAGAUCAGGCCUGGGUUAACUGCAGCUGUCUGUAUUGGGAGAUCAGGCUGAUCUCAGGCAUGUGUUCUGUUAUAAUCUCCACCCGGCAAAACCAGAAGAGGACUGGCCACCCCUCAUAGCCUGGUUCCUCUCUAGGUUUCUUCCUAGGUUUUGGCCUUUCUAGGGAGUUUUUUCCUAGCCACCGUGCUUCUACACCUGCAUUGCUUGCUGUUUGGGGUUUUAGGCUGGGUUUCUGUACAGCACUUUGAGAUAUCAGCUGAUGUAAGAAGGGCUAUAUAAAUACAUUUUAUUUGAUCCUAUGGGCAGGUGGGUUGACUGUAGAGAGUGAUGGAACAGGCGAACAUGAACUGUUGUCUUGUAACUUGAUAAUGGUGCCAACUGCCAACUCUACUGCACAAAUGUGUAGGCUAGCUAGGCUAUAUCAUAUGAAGUUAUUUCUGUCACAAGCUGAGAUUAGCCUAUUAAGGCUUCAGUAUAUGCUUGUCACUUUUUAAGAGUAAUAUACAUGAUCUCAUAUGACUCAUAUGCCAUGCACCGUAUGAUGCCAUAUGUUAUCAUUGAUGAUUACUUUGUGCAUACUGAUCUUCAUUGGCAUUUUCAAUUGGCCAAAGUUUAAUCUCCUUGCAUUGAGCAAGAUCUCCGUUAGACUGUCAUCUCCCCCAAACAUCCAUGGAUGACUCCUCUUUGACAUCACCUGACAUGAGUCAUGUUAAGAAUCAGCUCCUGACACUGUGUUAUUCAUAGGUGACAUGAUCAUGUCUGUCUCCUCUUGUCUGUUUUUCAUGCAAGGAUAGAGCGCUCCACAUUCACAAUGUUAUGCUUUUAUAGUCGUGGACAUAACAUCUGUUCCACUUUGACUGUUUAUUAUUCCAAGCUCUGUGUGUGUGUGUGUGUGUGUGUGUGUAUAUAUAUAUAUAUAUAUAUAUAUAUAUAUAUAUAACUUAGACCCCCUCAUCUCUGUCUCUCUCACCCUCGGGUGGCUGUAGGAGUAUGGAGAAGGAGAAAUUCAUAUUUUGUCUUCCUUUGAAGAAUCGUGUCUCCCUUAGCUGAGGCUUAUCACUUAAUACAAAUCCAACCAUCAUUAGUAUUUGGCAAUUAAACUGUCUAUUUCCAAAAAGGCAUAUUAGAUUUUAAUUGACUCGUCCCGUUGUAAAAUAUUAGCUUCCCCACUCGACGUCGACAAAUUCAUUACUUAUCAAUUUGACUCCACAUGGAGGCAGCCCAAUGACAGCUG
rnacentral:lncRNA from 13 species